rnacentral:rRNA from 1 species
CACUUCUAAGGAAGGCAGCAGGCGCGCAAAUUACCCAAUCCUGACUCAGGGAGGUAGUGACAAGAAAUAACAAUAAACCGGCUUAUGCCGGUUUAAUUGGAAUGAGUACAAUUUAAACAUCUUAACGAGGAACAAUUGGAGGGCAAGUCUGGUGCCAGCAGCCGCGGUAAUUCCAGCUCCAAUAGCGUAUACAAAAGUUGUUGCAGUUAAAAAGCUCGUAGUUGGAUUUCUGUGGGGACGGAGCGGCCGGCCGCACAUCGCGGUUCGAGCUAGCGCUUUCCCUACAUCCUGCCGCGAACCGUGCUACCAUUAGUUUGGUGGCGCCGGGGAUCGGCUCGAUUACUUUGAGAAAAAUAGAGUGUUCAAAGCAGGCCACAUGCCUUGAAUAAGUUAGCAUGGAAUAAUAACUAAGGACUUCGGUUCUAUUUUGUUGGUGUUCGGGACUGAAGUAAUGAUUGAUAGGGACAGUUGGGGCGGUCUGUAUUCCAAAGCGAGAGGUGAAAUUCUUAGACCUUCGGAAGACAAACAGCUGCGAAAGCGUUCCGCAAGGAUGUUCCCUUUGAUCAAGAACGAAAGUUGGGGGAUCGAAGACGAUCAGAUACCGUCGUAGUCUCAACUAUAAACUAUACCAGCUAGGGAUCGGCCAACGUUAUUUCAAACCGACUUGGUCGGCACCUUAUGAGAAAUCAAAGCAUCUGGGUUCCGGGGGGAGUAUGGUCGCAAGGCUGAAACUUAAAGGAAUUGACGGAAGGGCACCACCAGCCGUGGAGCCUGUGGCUUAAUUUGACUCAACACGGGAAAACUUACCAGGUCCAGACAUAGUAAGGAUUGACAGAUUGAUAGCUCUUUCUUGGUUCUGUGGGUGGUGGUGCAUGGCCGUUCUUAGUUGGUGGAGUGAUUUGUCUGGUUAAUUCCGUUAACGAACGAGACCCCAGCCUGCUAAAUAGCGCGCGUGAGCUUUGCUCGCGGCGAGCUUCUUAGAGGGACUAUGAUGCGCGAUAGCACAUGGAAGUUUGGGGCAAUAACAGGUCUGUGAUGCCCUUAGAUGUUCUGGGCCGCACACGGGCUACACUGGCGCCUGCAACGAGCAUAUCAGCUGGCCCGAGAGGGUCUUGGCUAAUCUUUUGAACCGGCGCCGUGCUUGGGAUUGACCUUUGCAAUUGUUGGUCAUGCAACGAGGAAUGCCUUGUAAACGCGAGUCAUCAGCUCGCAUUGAAUACGUCCCUGCCCUUUGUACACACCGCCCGUCGCUCCUACCGAUGAAUGUUCCGAUGAAAUUUUCGGAGAGCACCUGUGAACUUGGCUCUGCCUUGCGAACGGGAGGCUCAAAGUCACUUAAAUCUGAACAUUUCGAGG